UCUGACUGGAAGAGGGCUAAAUAAAUAUGUCUGUGAUGUAGCAUUGGGAUGGCUGCUGGUGACUGCAGAGACAAACAGAGUGGAGCACUGCAAGAGGCAUCUAUGGUGGUGAUUUUUCACUUCAGCUGCUCUUUCUGGGACAUGAAGUUGCUUACAAAAAAACACUGCAGAGAGCCCUUCAGACUCUGGAAUGGGUGCAGUAAUUUCCUGUGCAAAUCUCACAGUUUUCUUCAGAGCUCAAAUGGGAGUAGUGAGUGGUGAAAACUGAACUCAUUGGUGGUGUCCUCAUUUAUGGUAACAGAGGCUGCUCUACCAUCUCUCUGAGAAAGCUGGAAAGACCUCAGUGCCUCUUGUGUGACCAUCUUGCCAAUUAGUUAUGCUGAUUGCAGAAAUGCCUUGCACAGUAAUUUCCACUGCUAAGAUUCAAAAACAUGGAUCUCUUGCUAUUGUAUGUUUUCAGGAUUUAACAACUGUUUAACAAAAUAGAACAUCCCAGGAGCAGCAGCAGCCAGAUUUGGAAAGUGCAAAUCCCAUUUGCUUCAAAUACAGUGAUGUACAUGACUUAAAUACAUCUGCUGUAAUAAGACAUACAGUCCUAAAGAUGUUUCCAGUUAGUUUGCAAUCUGCAUGUCCAAAUUCCUGCCAGCACUGCAAGGCAACCAGCAUACUGAGUGGCAGCAGUUGCCAGCUGUAGACCCAUGAUUGCUAAAAUAGAGGUUGUGAGUCCUACUGCUAACCUCAUCCUGCGUGGUUCCUAAAUGGAUGCAUGCCCCUUGAGAACUAUCAGCAUCAAGAAUGACUGUAAGUCUUUGUCCUCUUGUCCAUCUCAUGUUUCAGUGUGAUGCCAAACUGUGCUGUGCAGCUGUGGCAGUUUGCAUCCCUUCUGCAUAGGGUUUCAAAAGACUCGGAGUGAUGGGAAAGAGCAUGAUCCACACACUGCUUUUUCCAGGAACUAGCAGCAUUAAGGGGUGACAAGAAUUUCUGCAAAAUUUCAAUUCCCAGCAGCAUUUCUUAGCUGGUUGGAUAUCCAGGGUCAAAUACAUCUGUAUCUGGGUCGGUGUUGUCACAAAACAUUUCAUAUAACCAGAGAGAACACCAAAUGAGAUCCUUCUCAUAGAAUUCACAAAUUAACUUCAGCAAGGCUUUUAGGAGGACUUGUUGAGAAAAUCAUGAGAGCUUGGCAGCGUUCCUCUUCUUUAACAGAAGCUAAUUCCUUCACGUAGUUGAACAAACCACACUGUGGAUUUAAGUUAUGAAAUACGGCUGAAGGCUUCCUCAGGCUUUAUAUUUUUUGUGAUCUUUUAUAGGAAAAAAAGUUUAUAAAAUUCCAUCUGGUUUAAAAAGAAGUAACAUCUGCUGAAUGUGAAGCAAUGUCCAUCCCCUUUUUUUGUUCCAAAGAGAUGAUAUUACGCUUCAUGUAGUUUACUCCAAAAGUUUGCAGGACAGCAGAUAGGAACAUGAUCUUGCCAGAAAAUCUGGAGACACACAGAUGAAUCCCAAGAGCAAGUAUGUGUCUGAUAAGUCUGUCAGUUUACAGAUUUGGUCAUUUCAUUUAACUGUUGUAGGUUCACUGGUUAUUUCCAACACAGGGUACAAAACAAUAUCCUUUGUAUGUUCUUUAUUUGAGACUUCUAAUGCUUCUCUGAUUUCUGGUAGAGUUACUGCGUUUUGCGUUAGUAUACAUGAAUUAGGAUUAAUGGAGGAAAAGUACAAGAAUAUGAAAGGAUGGUUAUUCUUUGAAUUUACUUAUGCAAGGCUGAAUGUUGCUCAGUCAUUAAUAUUUGCCUGUGUUCCACAUGCAGCUGAAGGCUAUUGCUGUGGCCAGGUCUCUGUCAUGCGAGACACUGCACAGGGAAUUUCUGCAUGUUACUUAGAUACAGGCAUAGGGCAAACUGGGACAGAACACUCUUUUAACUAUUGCCUUCAGAACUUGAUUCCCAGGAAAACCCUAAAAAAUUGAAGUGGAUUUUUACUGGGUUAGAUUUAAAAGGGUGACAUAUUGUUGCUCUUGAAUCAUCUGCGUGAUGGCUCCUGGCAAGUUUUGUUCCUUCUUCCCCACUCUCACACUGCUGCCCUUUGGAGUUCAGAGUUCCCUUAAUCCUAAGUUCCCUUCAUCUGUGGGGCUGCCAAUGUUAGGGACACUGCUCUGAAGCCCAGCGGGUUGUGGGCAGAGGUUGGUGGAGGCAGGUGGUAGUGCACAUAGGGCAGCCUGGAGAUGUGCUGGAGCCUUGGGGCUGCCUAUGGGCUGUGGUGGGCAGUGCUUCUCCUU